GAAACCACUUCCAUUAAUAUUCAAUUUGAUAUUUGUUUGCGGGAAAUUAUGUUUUUGUAAUAAAAACAUUUGAAUAAUAGCUUAACUGAGAACGAUAUUUUAGUUAAAAUUUGUCAAUGUGUGAGUGAACGGUGACAGCGUCGUACACUAAGCGUAUGUUCAGUGUGUGCGUUGAAAGGCUACGUUGCGAGCUGGCCGAAAAUGCGACGAUGCCGCUCUUCACUCCGCACGGGCUCAAGCGCGCAAUGAGGCGUUUGUGUAAAUUGAUAAAUUUCAUUUUUCAUUUCACCAAACGUCACUGUCAUUUUGAUUGACCGGCACGCGGCACCGGCAGUUUGGCAAAGAGCAUAUAAUCACUACGUUCUUGGCAGUUUGGCGGCAGUCUUGUUGUUUCUUGUUUCGCUAGUUUGAUUCUAAUAGUGAACUUUAUCGAGAGAAUGCCACAAACAUCCCGAAGAUUAUAAAAACCAUCAAUACUCAGGCCCGAGAAAGAGUCGGAAACGCAGCCAUGGGCAAAUGAAACGAUAUCACGGAGAAAUCAAAAGAUCCAGGACCAACUGCGGGUGACACAAAUGAUGAAAUGUCACUUCAUUUGUUACAUUUCCCCAAGUUAUGGCAUUACAGUUUUGGAAGUAGAGCGCGAUGAAACUUUUAUAGAAAAGAUGUUGCCAAAACUGAUAAACUUUUAUAAAAAAAUUAUAUUGCCCGAGAUUGUACUGCGAAGAACAAGGAAAAAUCUAAAAUGUAUAGAUGUUUCUUUGUAGUAAAUGUAAAUAAAAAAACUGUU